rnacentral:rRNA from 1 species
UACGAGAGGCCCAAACGUUAUUCGGAUUUACUGGGCUUAAAGAGUUCGUAGGCUGCGCAGAAAGUAGGGUGUGAAAGCCCUCGGCUCAACCGAGGAAUUGCGCCCUAAACUACUGUGCUUGAGGGACCUAGAGGUGAGCGGAACUGAUGGUGGAGCGGUGAAAUGCGUUGAUAUCAUCAGGAACACCGGAGGCGAAGGCGGCUCACUGGGGGUCUUCUGACGCUGAGGAACGAAAGCCAGGGGAGCGAACGGG